rnacentral:misc_RNA from 1 species
CUGAGUUUUCUAAACUCCCAAACCCUUGAGAACAUACCUUGGUUGCCUCGGCGGAAGUGUCGCCCUGGGAUGGCCUACCCUGUAGCGUCUUACCCUGGGCGGCGCCCCCCGCCGGUGGUCUUCUAAACUCUGUUUUAUUGUGUCACUUCUGAGGAUUAUUAUAAAAUCAGUUA